CAUAAAAGGAGGGGGCUCAAAAAAUGUUCUCAAAAGGGAAAUGAAAAAUUCAAGAAGAGGUGCCUCCUUCUGUGACCUUCUUCGUCGAGAUCUGACUUGAUUUUGCUCCAACCUUGUGAAAAGGGAAGUGAAAAGAAUUCCAAAAGAAGUUGCCUCCUUCAAUGACCGUCUUCAUCAUCGAUGACUUCACCGGAGGUUCCCAUCGUUGAAGAACUUUGAUUCGACUUUAAAGGAUGACUUUGAUAUCUCAUUCAUCUAAGUUGGGUUAUAUGUAUGUUUCUUUGUGGCCUUAAGGUGAUGCAUUGCACCAACUAUCACUAAAGGGUUACUUGGGAGGUCAAGGAAUAAAUGAAAAGGAAGCUCACUGUAAAAUAGGAUAUAGUUCACUAUAAUGUGAUUUAAAAUGUAAUAAAUUCUAUGUGUGAUCUUAUGUAAUGUUUGGACUUUGAAUAUGUUAAUACGAAAAAUGUGAAUGAUAUAAAUUCUAUUGGAUAAAGUUUUUAAU